ensembl:lncRNA
GUUUUUUUCAAUAGUAAUAGUUGGUGGACAUACUCUCCUAUACUCCAGCUGAGAACACAAAUGGCUCCUUUCUCUGCAUUGUUCUCCAGUACUGUUUGUACAUGGAGGAGCUUUUGGACCAACCAGCUUUUGGUGCCACAUAACUAUGUUUUAGUAAAACAUUUGUGAACAUAGAUUUAGACUCAUGUUUUGGAGACUGACCAGGCAAAAAGCUUAUGAGCAUACAGUCCUGUUAUCCAGAUGUAUUUGCAUUGGAUCAAUAGCAUUUGUACACAACUAUAUUAUAUGAUAGAUAGAUGCUUUAUUAUUCAUCCCAAAAAAAACACAUUUAGCCAAAAGUUUUUGGACUACGGUAAAAUGUUAAAAGUAUAAAACACAACACCUUAGCAACCACCAUGGCAAAACAGUUCGCUAAUAACCUAGAAUGUUAUUUUUCUGGCCAGAGGCUGAAUCAAACAUAAUAUUCCACAGAUUCUAAUGAAUGAAGUUUGCAUCUUUUUCACAAGCUGGUUGUGAUUUGAUGGCUUUUUUCUGACCUAAUAUUUUAUUGAACAUUCAUUGCAUCCCUGGGUCAGUUUUAACAAGCGGUUUUAACCAAGUUUUCCAGCUAGUUACCCUUCAGACUUGCUUUGACAUAAUGGAGCAUCUAGAAAUCUGUCAGUAUCCCUGUUUAAAUUCUGUUCUGGUUUUGGAAACUGUAGCCUAUCUGUAGCCUAUUGUACAGGUCAACACUGCUAAAUUGAAUUUUUGUUCUAGCCAAGGGCCAAACCGCCUCAACCAACCACAUCCCAGUCUAGCUGCUGCUCUAAUGACCGGCAGGGGGCGCUCGCUGUGAGAUCAGCCCCAGGAUCACGUACUUCUCCGCUCCUGCGCGUGCGCGCUGCCCGUGGGCGUGCACGGCGCGGUCCUGUCGAGCGCGCGGAUCUCCAGCUGGAUCUGUCGCGAGCUCCCCCACGAGAUGAGCUCCGAGUCGCGCGGUGGAGUGACUCCCCUGAUUCCUCCAGAACUGAGACCAAAUGUUUGAAUGAAUGAAUGGCAGAAGAGAGUGAUGCUGUGCGAGAGAGAAAGAAGACACAUGCGUCGGAAUGACACAGGGUUUCACCCCACUGAUCCCAUUCCUGCUGCUGCUGCUUAUGGGAUUUGGUAAGCAGGCACUCUAAGAUCUCUAAGUAACUCUAAUGUUAUGUAAAUAGGUAGCCUACAGCAUUUCACAGGUUCAAACAACAAGUUACUGGGCUGCGAUGCCUUCAUCCAUGCAUGAAUAAGAAGGAGAAUACACUGUUCUGAUUUGUUUUAUAAUUUAAUCUCAGC